CCUACGGGAGGCAGCAGUGGGGAAUAUUGCACAAUGGGGGAAACCCUGAUGCAGCGACGCCGCGUGAGUGAAGAAGUAAUUCGUUACGUAAAGCUCUAUCAGCAGGGAAGAAAAUGACGGUACCUGAGUAAGAAGCCCCGGCUAACUACGUGCCAGCAGCCGCGGUAAUACGUAGGGGGCAAGCGUUGUACGGAUUUACUGGGUGUAAAGGGAGCGUAGACGGAUCGCCAAGUUUGGAGUGAAAUGCCGCGGCUUAACCGCGGAACUGCUUUUGAGACUGGCGAACUAGAGUGCGGGAGGGGUAAGCGGAAUACCUAGUGUAGCGGUGAAAUGCGUAGAUAUUGGGAAGAACACCGGUGGCGAAGGCGGCUUACUGGACCGUAACUGACGUUGAGGCUCGAAAGUGUGGGUAUCAAACAGGAUUAGAUACCCGUGUAGUC
rnacentral:rRNA from 1 species